CCUGGCUUCGACGCGGGUUACAAAACCUGAGGUGCAUGCCGAGGAACAGAAUACCUCGUAAAUCCAUCUGUACAACCCAUAGUUGCCAACGACGACAACUACGCAAUAGCCGCUUAAAAACCGGUGUAUUGCCCUCUGACUGAAGCCGUGUCUAUGCGUUCAGGUUUCAGGGGUCAUCUCUCAUAGAAUCGCGAUGAAACACGUCUGGGGUGGAUUCGUUAAAACUAAACCGGAACCGCCUGUUGUGAUCUUUGCCCAUUAGGUAGCACCAGGUUAAAUUAAUUGAUGGGAUAUGCAUGUAGAGCCAACGGCAGAGGAUUUGCGGACGCGGGUUCGAUCA
rnacentral:tmRNA from 1 species